AAAUAAUAUAAUUUAAUUUCUUUAGUAUUAAUUAAUUUAUAAUAAAAUAAUUUUAAAUUAAAAUUUAUUAGGUGAAAUUUAUAAAUUUUAUAUAAAAUUUAUUAUUUUUUAAUGAAGUUAAAAAAUUUAAUUAAUAAACUAGGAUUAGAUACCCUAUUAUUUUAAAUGUAUUUUUUAUACUAAAUUAGUAUUAGUUAUGUUCUUGAAAAUUAAAAAUUUUGGCGGUAUUUUAGUCUAUUCAGAGGAACUUGUCCUAUAAUUGAUAAUCCACGAUUUUAUUUACUUUUUUUAUUAGUUUGUAUAUCGUCGUAAUUUGAAUAUUUUAUAAGAAUAAUAAUAUUCAAGAUUUUGUAUAAGAAAGUAAAUCAGAUCAAGGUGCAGUUUAUAAAAAAGAAGAGAUGAGUUACAAUAAAAUAAUUAUUAGGAUUAUUAUUUAUAAAGUAAUAUGAAUUUGGAUUUGAAAGUAAAUUUAAUAAAUUAAUUAAAUUGAUUUUAGCUCUAAAAU
rnacentral:rRNA from 1 species